rnacentral:rRNA from 1 species
AACGAACGCUGGCGGCAUGCCUAACAGAUGCAAGUCGAACGAGAUCUUCGGGUCUAGUGGCGCACGGGUUCGUAACGCGUGGGAAUCUGCCCGUUGGUGCGGAAUAACAGUUGGAAACGACUGCUAAUACCGGAUGAUGACGAAAGUCCAAAGAUUUAUCGCCAGAGUAUCAGCCCGCGUAGGAGAAGCUAGUUGGGGUUGUAAGGACGCAGCAAGGCGACGAACCUUAGCUGGUCUGAGAGGAUGAUCAGCCACACUGGGACUGAGACACGGCCCAGACUCCUACGGGAUGCAGCCGUGGGGAAUAUUGGACAAUGGGAGAAAGCCUGAUCCAGCAAUGCCGCGUGAGUGAUGAAGGCCUUAGGGUUGUAAAGCUCUCUUCCCCGGGAUGAUAAUGACAGUACCGGGAGAAUAAGCUCCGGCUAACUCCGUGCCAGCCGCCGCCGUAA